UAUACUACCUGGAUUCAACAGGACCAAAUGAUCCUCAACUGGAUCAAUGGUUCCCUCAUGGCAUUUGUCCUGUCAACCGUGGCUAGCAAACGCACCUCGCGUGUGACCUGGGAAGCUUUGGAACAACGUUAUGCAUCCUUCUUGCAGAACAUGAUCUUUUAGGCGAAAUGAACUCCUGCAAACAAAAAAAGGUGAUAUUUCAAUUGCUGAUUUUCUUGAUAAAAUGAAUUCAAUUUUUGAUAACCUUCCCUUGGCUGGCAAGCCUAUUGAUGAUGAUGAGCUAGUUCAAAUUAUCUUGAAUAACCUUAGACUGGCAUUUGAAAUGACCGUGAAUGCUGCAUAAGCACGGGAUACUCCCAUUACAUAUCCCACCCUUGAGGCUCUUCUCCUGACCACUGAGAGAAGAAUGUUGUAGCAGACUGUUCCAUUGGUUGAAACUGCUCCAAUCAAUGCAUAUGUGGCUGCAAGAGGAUGUGGUGGACGUUCUCGAGAAACUGGACGUGGUGUUGGUCGGUCCAACCGUGGUGGUUCUGUGAAUCAGCGAGGUCAUGCUGUUCGCAACAACAACAACUAGCGAGGCUUUGGUCAUACUAGGGAACGUUGUGCGUCUGCUAGUGGGCGUAUAACCUGUCAGAUUUGUGGACGAGAAGGGCAUCAUGCCCUAGAUUGUUAUCAACGUAUGAACUUUGCCUAUGAGGAUCGAAUCCCAGCUAAGCGCCUCACUGCAAUGGCCUCAUCUCCAAUCACUCUGAAUCACCAAUAAAAUGGUCAGUGGCUCUUAGACACUAGAGCAAACGCUCAUAUCACACCUGACAUUCAGAACCCGGUGAACCCUAAAUAAUACACUGGCAAUGACAACAUUGGUGGCGUAGGACCUUAAGACCCAGAUGACGCUUUUCCAAGGGAGGUGUGAGAAUGGGUUAUACCCAUUUCCAAAUGGCGGUGGAUUAUCCAAUCGUCCAUUUUCAGCAUUUUUAGGAGUUCGAGUGUCUGCAAAGCAGUGGCAUGCACGACUUAGUCAUUCUAGUUCCUCCAUAAUAAAGUUUUUGAUUUCAAAUAAACAAGUGCCAAUAAGUGGCACUUUUGAAGUAACCUUUUGUCAUUCAUGUCCGUUAGGCAAGAGUAAAAAAUUGCCUUUCAAAUCUUCAAAGUCUGUUUUGAAAUUUCCGUUAGAACUUUUACAUUCCGAUGUUUGGUGUUCACCAAUUGUUUCUAUUGAA